rnacentral:lncRNA from 10 species
CUCACUGCAAGCUCUGCGUCCCGGGUUCUCGCCAUUCUCCUGCCUCAGCCUCCUGAGUAGCUGAGCCUACAGGUGCCUGCCACCAUGCCUGGCUAAUUUUUUGUAUUUUUAAUAGAGAUGGGGUUUCACCUUGUUAGCCAGAACGGUCUCGAUCUCCUGACCUUGUGAUCCGCCCGCCUCGGCCUCCCAAAGUGCUGGGAUUACAGCAUGAGCCACCGCGCCCAGCCGAUCCUGGAUAAUUUCAUAUGAUGGCCUGAAGCAACUGAAGAUCCACAAAAGAAGUGAAAAUAGCCUUAAAUGAUGACAUUCCACCAUUGUGAUUUGUUUCUGCCCCACCCUAACUGAUCAAUGUACUUUGUAAUCUCCCCCACCCUUAAGAGGGUUCUCUGUAAUCUCCCCCACCAUAAGAAGGUUCUUUGUAAU